rnacentral:rRNA from 1 species
AGAUUGAACGCUGGCGGCAGGCUUAACACAUGCAAGUCGAGCGGUAACAUUUCUAGCUUGCUAGAAGAUGACGAGCGGCGGACGGGUGAGUAAUGCUUGGGAAUAUGCCUUAUGGUGGGGGACAACAGUUGGAAACGACUGCUAAUACCGCAUAACGUCUACGGACCAAAGGAGGGGAUCUUCGGACCUUUCGCCAUUUGAUUAGCCCAAGUGAGAUUAGCUAGUAGGUGAGGUAAAGGCUCACCUAGGCGACGAUCUCUAGCUGGUUUGAGAGGAUGAUCAGCCACACUGGGACUGAGACACGGCCCAGACUCCUACGGGAGGCAGCAGUGGGGAAUAUUGCACAAUGGGCGAAAGCCUGAUGCAGCCAUGCCGCGUGUGUGAAGAAGGCCUUCGGGUUGUAAAGCACUUUCAGUUGUGAGGAAAGGGAUGUAGUUAAUAACUGCAUUCUGUGACGUUAACAACAGAAGAAGCACCGGCUAACUUCGUGCCAGCAGCCGCGGUAAUACGAGGGGUGCAAGCGUUAAUCGGAAUUACUGGGCGUAAAGCGUUCGUAGGCGGUCUAUUAAGCAAGAUGUGAAAGCCCAGGGCUCAACCUUGGAACUGCAUUUUGAACUGGUAGACUAGAGUACUGUAGAGGGUGGUGGAAUUUCCAGUGUAGCGGUGAAAUGCGUAGAGAUUGGAAGGAACAUCAGUGGCGAAGGCGGCCACCUGGACAGAUACUGACGCUGAGGAACGAAAGCGUGGGGAGCGAACAGGAUUAGAUACCCUGGUAGUCCACGCCGUAAACGAUGUCAACUAGCCGUUCGUAGACUUGAUCUGUGAGUGGCGCAGCUAACGCACUAAGUUGACCGCCUGGGGAGUACGGCCGCAAGGUUA